rfam:Stegodyphus mimosarum contig9865, whole genome shotgun sequence.
GCCUUUGUGGUGUAACGGUAGUACACUCGGCACGUAUUCGAGAGGUUCAGGUUCGAGUCCCGCCGAGGGCA